rnacentral:lncRNA from 13 species
CGCUAAUGACCUGGUACCAUCAGAUCGCUAAUGACCUGGUACCAUCAGAUCGCUAAUGACCUGGUACCAUCAGAUCGCUAAUGACCUGGUACCAUCAGAUCGCUAAUGACCUGGUAACAUCAGAUCGCUAAUGACCUGGUACCAUCAGAUCGCUAAUGACCUGGUACUCAGGGCUCUAUUGUUCCUCUGACCACUCUGACAUCAAUGCAAAUAUAAUCGAAAAUCACAUCAAACACUUGUCAUCAAAACAGUAGGCCUAUUGUACUUUUAAAACUCACAUCACUGCGACGAUCAAUUUGAAGAAAGACAUUCAACAGCAGGUUGAAACAAUGUAAAACAUGGUUGUUGUGGAUGUUGUUUCACAGCCUAACACAACGAAACGGACAGAGUUUCCUAAGGUGAGGAUUAAUUCAAAACAUCCAUACGCGUAUUAGAGUUUAUGCAUAGGCUUACGAGCCCUAAAAACUGAAUUAAUAUUAUGAUUGUACCCUUAUACAAUACAUAGCCUACUGAAUAUUACUCAUGGCAGAAAAACAUCAAACAAAACUGAUUUAAGAUCUUUGGUACAUAAUUGUUCUAGCCUAUACUCCAAAAUUAAACAAAUUAGAGUAACCGUCUUUGAGUGUGGACAGUAUUAUUAUGCAUUAUGGAUAUUAUGCAUACUGGACGCUACAACAUGUCUAUCCAUGAGUCUAGGAGAGAACGAAUAGUCCGAGGCGAUGCUGUUGUUUCAUUGAUUGUGUAGGGCGGCUUACAGUUAGUCUACAAUUUGUACAUUUGUAUUUAGCUAUACAGAAUAUUUCACCACCAUGCGUUUCCAUCUCCUCCUCUCUCUCCCUUUCCCUCCCUCUCUCAUUUGAGAGAUCAUGUCCUACUUCUCUUUCUCCUCUCCUUCACUGCCGCAUAUUCAAUCCCUUUCUCCACCUCCGCUCGCUCCGGGCUAAACCUUGUCUGUGUGUCAGCCUCAGUUUAGCCCAGAAUACAUAUUUUUAGAGAGAAAAGAAGGGAUUUCACUCUUCUCUCUUUUCCUCGAUCCCUCUCCCUUGCUCACUAGAAUGGACAUUGCCCCGAGUGGAAACAACGUGCCCAGGGCUCCGGUAAGAGCAGUGGACUAUGUAGGGAAUAUGGUGCC